CACGUAGGCACCAAGCGUUGUCCGGAUUUAUUGGGCGUAAAGAGCUCGUAGGCGGUUCAGUAAGUCGGGUGUGAAAACUUUGGGCUUAACUGGGGAGGGUCAUUCGAUACUGCUCGACUUGAAGGCAGGAGAGGGUAGUGGAAUUCCCGGUGUAGCGGUGAAAUGCGCAGAUAUCAGGAGGAACACCAAUGGCGAAGGCAGCUCGCUGGGACGUGACUGACGCUGAGACGCGAAAGCGUGGGGAGCAAACAGG
rnacentral:rRNA from 1 species